GGGAAGCCACGCCCUUCUCUGCCGGCGUGACGUCAUCGCGCACGCACGCACGCACGCACGGGGGGCGUGGCCUCGUGACACAGCAGCGCCACUACGGAGGCCGGGAGGGGUCAAAAAGGACGCGGGGCCCACGAGGCCCUAUAGGGCCCUAUGGGGGCGGAGGGGGAGGGGGUCCUGAAGGCGGCUUUUAGGGCUUUAUAGGGCCCUAUGGGGCCUUAGAGCUGCCCUAUAGGGGCCGAAGGACCCCAUAAAGUUGAGCAAGAGGGGCCAUAUGGGGGUCUGUAGGUGCCCUAUAGGGGCUUAUAGGGUGCCCCAUAGGGGCCCUAUUGGUAUCUACAGCGAUCCUAAAGCUAUGGGGUCUUGCAGAUGCCAUAUAGGGACCCCAAAGAGGCUGAUAGAGGGCUAUAGGAACCUGAAACGACCCUAUAGGUGUCUAUGGGUACCUUAAAGCAGCCUCUGGGGCCUAUGGGGUGGGAUUCGGGGUCUCUGUGGGGUCUAUGGGGUGGGAUUUGAGGUCUAUAUGGGGUCUAUGGGGUGGGAUUUGAGGUCUAUAUGGGGUCUAUGGGGUGGGAUUUGAGGUCUAUAUGGGAUCCUGGGGUCUGUGGGGUGGGAUUCGGGGUCUCUGUGGGGUCUAUGGGGUGGGAUUUGAGGUCUAUAUGGGAUCCUGGGGUCUAUGGGGUGGGAUUUGAGGUCUAUACGGGGUCUAUGGGGUCGGAUUUGGGGUCUAUACGGGAUCUAUACGGGAUUUGGGGGCUAUGGGGAGGGCUUUGGGGUCUAUAUGGGGUGUAUGGGGUGGGAUUUGAGGUCUAUAUGGGGUCUAUGGGGUGGGAUUUGGGGUCUAUAUGGGGUCUAUGGGGUGGGAGUUGGGGUCUAUACGGGGUCUAUGGGGUGGGAUUUGGGGUCUAUAUGGGAUCCUGGAGCCUAUAGGGUGAGCUUUAGGGUCUAUAUGGGGUCUAUGGGGUCGGAUUUGGGGUCUAUACGGGAUCUAUACGGGAUUUGGGGUCUAUGGGUUCGGAUUUGGGGUCUAUAUGG
ensembl:lncRNA